rnacentral:tRNA from 1 species
GGGCCCGUAGCUCAGCUUGGCAGAGCACCUGGCUUUUAACCAGGGUGCCGUGGGUUCGAAUCCCACCGGGCCCG